UUUAGGGUCAUAGUUCAGACCAGCCAUUUUGGAUUAGUUUGGAAAAUUUAGGUGAUUCAUCUUCGUUUUAUCUUUGGCAUCAACCUGUAUCGAACCCUGGAGAAGCUUUGAUUAGUUGUUGAAAAACACUGUAAGAAAGCAAGUUGAUGAAGACAAACAAACCUUAGAAGGCCGUGUAAAUCAAAGGUGUGUGAGUUAGUGGCAGAAAGCCACUCCGUGCUGCAGUGGCAGAAUGAAGAGAAGUAUAUAUCUUCUUUGAUCCAAAUGCCUGGACCUACAGUGCAUGUAUAUGACGUCUGCCUCAUGUCAUUUCAAAAAGAACGGCGUGUCGGUGUUCCUUCGACAAGACACAAAUAAAAGAAACAGAGCAAGCGCUAGCUUUGAUGUGGCCAAAUUGCUCUGAUCGGACAGUUGCCAAACAAGUCGAUUACCUCUCAAGAGACCAAAGGGUAUGAGACAAGGGACGAGUGCCAGCGCCGCUGAUUUGCUUAGAGUAUUGUGAAUCAAAAUUUCACUUCUUGAUGGGGAGAAAUUCAGAUGCAUUAAGCAGACUUCUGCUUGCAAAGCUAUUUUUUUUUGGUUCAGCCUUAUACACCCUGUCAUUACCUAAACUUUUAUUGGUCCCCCUUUAGUAGAGAAGUAUGUAUGAUAUAUGAGUUAUUCAUUAGUCAGUUGAUUUACUCAUUCACUUCCCUCUCUGAGCUGGAAGGCCAACAAUAGAAAGGCUCUAUCCUUGCCAUUAAUCAGAAAAGAAAAUCAUACAACUGCUCUCAGCACCAGGGUAGACACAGAAAAUCCCCGGGCCCAAAACAUUUCCUUCACAAUACUAACUCCAUUUUUCAAAGGUAAAGAUGCAGUGACUGACAACAACUAGUGGAAACCAGUUUUUUAUAUUAUUCUGAAAAUAACAUGGAGGAGAAAAUUGUUUCCCCCGUGCCCCCCAGUGGUUACCCCUGAGGCUGAAAAUGAGCGUUAGAAAGCCUUUGACCCAAGGCUAACACAUUUUCAUUCAAUCUCAGAAGCCGACUCCUACAGGGCUCUCCACAACACCAUACAAAAAGAGACUAGAGAGAACAGACACAUACUGAGAUUCAAAAAGUGAGAGGAAAGAAAUGAAUGAAAAUGAACAGAAAUUGUCAGAUAUUGCCUGUCAUUUGUCCGCUCCUUCUAGAUAAGACAUAAAUACAGAAAAAACAUAGACAUUCAGACAGACAUAGAAAUAGCUAAAGUGAUACAAUGUCAAAUCCCUUUCUUUGGUUUUUAAUUACAGUGUGAAAUAUUUCACUGCAUUUCUCUUCAAUAAAAACCUUUUCCUUUACAAUGCUGGGAGCCAGCAAUGAUCUUUUUGCUGGAAGACUAAUCAUCUCUGUGUGAUUAGGAGCUGAAGGUUAAUGUGGGCUCUCGCAGAUGGGAGAUGGAGCGAGGUGGGAGUGAGGGAGAUCAGACCAGACAAUGUUCUAGAAAGGCGCAGGCGGGUGCCUUUGCAGAGGCACAGGGGGGCUAUAAGUGGUUAAGAGUCUGUGGAUCAAGGGGAGGAGAGGCCUAAGCCUCAUUACUCAUGUAAAUGCAGCUUCCAGCGUGGAGGCCCCACUUUAAAGCCUUGCUUUUUUAAUUAUUCCUUUGCUCUACACAUGAUAAUUGGGUCUAACUCGGCCCAGGGCCUGUUGACUAUGUAAGGAGAAUAAAACACCCUAAUGACUUUGUCCAUUUUUAAUGGUGAUCAGUGGAAAGAUUGGGCCUUCUAUUGGAUUGGAAAUAACCAUGGUAUUGACUUUUUGGCUUGAUUUUUCAGACUCCCACUGUUUGAUUGGUGCUUGUAAUGAUGUACAUAAAAUUAUUCUGGAAUUGAAUGUUGUCACCUGUUUGCCAUUUAGGAAUUAGUGUUAAUCUGUGCAAAGUGCUGUAUCACUGUUUUUGUGGCAUAGUUUAACAAUAAAAUACGUACCAGGAUAA